rnacentral:rRNA from 1 species
UACGGGGGGAGCAAGCGUUGUUCGGAUUUACUGGGCGUAAAGGGCGCGUAGGCGGCCACCGCAAGUCGGUUGUGAAAUCUCUGGGCCUUAACCCAGAAAGGUCAACCGAUACUGCGGGGCUAGAGUGCAGAAGGGGCAACUGGAAUUCUCGGUGUAGCGGUGAAAUGCGUAGAUAUCGAGAGGAACACCUGCGGCGAAGGCGGGUUGCUGGGCUGACACUGACGCUGAUGCGCGGAAAGCUAGGGGAGCGAACGGG